rnacentral:rRNA from 1 species
GUGUCAGCAGCCGCGGUAAUACGUAGGGUGCGAGCGUUAAUCGGAAUUACUGGGCGUAAAGGGUGCGCAGGCGGUUAUAUAAGACAGAUGUGAAAUCCCCGGGCUCAACCUGGGAACUGCGUUUGUGACUGUAUGACUAGAGUACGGUAGAGAGGGGUGGAAUUCCUGGUGUAGCAGUGAAAUGCGUAGAUAUCAGGAGGAACAUCGAUGGCGAAGGCAGCCCCUUGGACCUGUACUGACGCUCAUGCACGAAAGCGUGGGGAGCAAACAGGAUUAGAAACCCUGGUAGUCC